rnacentral:rRNA from 1 species
AUGAACGCUGGCGGCGUGGAUUAGGCAUGCAAGUCGAACGCGAACGUCCCCUUCGGGGGACUAGUAGAGUGGCGAAAGGGUGAGUAAUGCUUGGAUGACCUGCCCUCGAGACGGGGACAACAGUUCGAAAGGACUGCUAAUACCCGAUGGUCCGACGUGGAUACGUCCGCGUCGGUAAAUGGUGCUUCCGCUCGAGGAGGGGUUCAAGUCCUAUCAGCUAGUUGGUGAGGUAACGGCUCACCAAGGCGAUGACGGGUAGCCGGACUGAGAGGUCGACCGGCCACAUGGGAACUGAGACACUGUCCUGACUCCUACGGGAGGCUGCAGUCGAGAAUCUUCUGCAAUGGGCGAAAGCCUGACAGAGCGACGCCGCGUGGAGGAUGAAGGCCCUCGGGUCGUAAAGUUCUUUCGCUCGUGACGAUGAUGACGGUAACGAGAGAAGAAGCCCCGGCUAACUUCGU